UUUUCGUUAUGUGUAAUAUCUUAAAAAUAUUUUCUGAAAAUUUCAAGUCGAUCCAAUAAUUAGUUUUUGAGUUAUUCGACAAAUAACAAAGAGAGCUCGGGUACUUCAAAGCGCUCGGGAGCAGAUAGCUAGCGGCACCUUUAAGAAACCCCCUUUUAGGGUUCUAUUAUCAUCCUAUUCUGGAAUUAUAAAAGUAGAUCCUUACAAAAAUACAACCAUAAAUAAAAAGGAAUGUAUAGGCCAUGUUCCGAAGCGGAUGGGGACUCGACUGCGUACUCUGAAAACUACACAAAAAGGUCUUGGUGGUAGAGGUAGGCUUACAGGAAAAGUAAUAGACAAAUUAACUGUGUACUAUGGUUUAUCAAUACGUCGUCAUUGCGAUUCUAUUGAAGAAAAUCGACUGAUGAAAAUCCGAAUCAUGAUAUGUGUCCCAAAGGCGAAGAUUCUUGGUGCUCUUACCAGCGCGCUGAAGCAAGUGGAGAGCUUGAUACUUAUACUCAAGAUUAUUCUCCCUCACCUCCUGAUGUUUUAAAAGCUAUUAAACCGAUUUACGACGAUCUCAGUAAUGAUAAUUUACUUUCAAGAUGUGUAGGUGGAUUCAAUCAGAAUAAUAAUGAGAGCUUCAACCAACUAGUGUGAAAAAUAUGCCCAAAAACCGUGAAUACUAGUUCUACUAUCGUACAAAUUGCUGCAUACAUAGCUACUUGUAUAUUUAAUGAAGGUACAAAUUCAUUAUUAAUGAUUAUAGAUACCCUAGGACUUAAUUGUGGGUCUAAUUCCCAUCGGUAUGCUGAAAAAUUGGAUGCUGCACGUGUGAAAGUGGCAGAUCAGCGCGCCAACGACAACACUCGGGAAGGCAGAAUGCUUCGUAGGCAACAGCAAAUUGAUGUUUUGGAAACUUCCACAAUGGCUGAUGAACUAUUAUAUGGCCCAGGUAUAGAUGACUCGAUAUGAAUCUCCAAGAACUUAUGAUUGUCACCGCAAGGACCUUUUUUUGGAACUGGGUCAACACAGACAGCUAUAACUUUGGAAAUCAAAUUUUUUUUUUUUUUUAAUUUUCGUGACUUCAAGUCAAAACAUUGUAUAAUAAUGCCAUAUUACUACUUUUGUAGAAUAACAUGAUUUAAUAGCAAAAAAAAAAUACUGAAAA